AUGGACAAGAAAGCGGUUGAUGCAACAAGAAAGUUCGCAGCUGUUGAUGGGAUCGGCGAUCAACAAAGAAGCCGUCGCCGCAGAUAAGGAUACUUCGGCAAAUGAAGGAAUCAGCGAAAAUAGUGUUAUAUACAAGGUCUACCCAGCUCGAUGGCUCGUUCUAGCUGUUUGUUGCUUUCUUGCUCUUUCAAACGCAAUGCAAUGGAUAAGCUUCAGCUCUCUAUCCGACGAAGUUCAGAUAUAUUAUAGAGGACGUCCAGCCAACGGGAGCAUUGAUGUAUCACUUGUCACGAAUCAAAUUUUCCAGUUUGUCGCCGUGUUCACUGGAUUUGGUGGAAUGUACAUAACUGAUAACAAAGGAAUAAAAACGGCUGGUCUUCUUGGUACAACUUUAAAUGUAAUUGGAGCAUCGAUUCGGAUGAUUGCCUCGAUUCCUUUCAUAAAAUCACAUUUUGUUCGUGAAUGUCUUCUUCAUGCAGGAUCGUUUAUCGCUGCUUCAGCACAAGCAUUCUUUUUAGUUCUUCCAUCAAAAAUUGCUGAAUGCUGGUUCCCUGGUGAUCAGAGAGCAAUUGCAAAUGUACUUUCUUUUGUUGCAAAUCCUGCCGGUGUUGCCCUCGGAACAAUUGUGCCAUCCAUUCUUUUUGGUCACAAUAAGACUAUUGAUUCGAAUAGUUGGAUGUUCUUCACAUUUACUCUUGGAAUGGAAUGUCUAGCCUUGUUCCCAUUUGUUCUAGCACUAUUCGUUCGAACUAAACUGCCACCCACUCCACCAUCAGCUUCUUCUGCUGCUCAUCAGAACAACAUUGGUUUCUUUAAAUCUAUUCUUCAAUGUAUUUUUAAUGCUCAAUUUUUCAUCCAAAUGACUCUCUUUGCAUUUGCGUUUUCGCUUCUGUGGAGUCUAAUGAUUUUCCUCGAUGGUCCACUCAAAGAUCAAGGUUAUGAGAUGGCUGGAUAUCCAACUGCCGUGUGUGCAAUCGUUGGCACGUUAACAUCACUGCUCGCUGGUCAUAUUGCCGACAAAACACGCAAGUUCAAGGAAAUAAUCAGAGUUUGUACUGUUGGAUUUUCAUGUUCAGUCAUUACAUUGAGAAUGUUCCUAAAUCAACCACGGACUGGGCUCUUUGAUAGCAUAAUCGUUUACACUCUUUGUGGAUGUCUCGGUGCCUUUUCAAUACCUCAAUUCCCGAUUGGAGUGGAACUUGGUGUUGAGACGACAUUCCCAGUAAUGGAAGCAACGUCAUCAGGUGUUCUUGUUAUAUUCGGAUCGCUUUUCAUGUUCAUUAUUCCAUUUGCACAAAAUUACACAGAAAAGUUGCACUUGUUCUAUGCACAAUCUUGGAAAUUUGCUCUCGAUGUAACAUGUGGGCUCUCAAUUGUAUCUGUCAUCUUAUCACUGUUCUUUUUGAGACCACGAUAUCGUCGUCUAGAACUGGAAAAUGCCAAAUUGGCAUUAGAAAAUGAGGAACCUGUUACAGCUCGAACGGCUGCGUCGGAUAUCGAAAUGCGAUAG
rnacentral:misc_RNA from 1 species